CGCGUAACAGAUGCCACGGCCACAGAUACUACUGGGGAUUAUUCGUUUGCGGACAUUACUUUUCGAUCAACAUCAUACGUUUUGGAUUACAUGGAGUUCCAAGAACGCAUUUCUGCCUGGAAUUCGCCAACUACUGAGACAAGAAUGAGAUGACUGUUACAACGUUGACCACAGAAAGAGAGAUCGACAGACGAGAAGAAAAAGCGCGGGAGAAGGAUUCGGCUUUUCGACUGAGAGACUUAGAGUGAACGUUAACUACCGCGAGAUGCCGAACCCACUUGCAUGCAGAGCCGUUACUACCAAGCAGAAUUGUUUUGUAAUAACCAGAAGAUACAAAUGCCACGGACGGAAUGAGAGGGAAAGAACACAGAAGAUGCGCGCGAAAUCGCGCGAUAUACGUGGCGGAGAUGAGCGGCGUCUCAGCGGGAGAUCUGCGAUUCGCGAGUCGACGGAUGACUUUUCUUAGCCUCGACACAGUUGCGGCCGAGCGCGCGAAGACACGGCGCGACGAGAUGCUUCUCAACGCUAGUCGAUGCGGAUCGACACGACCUAUCGACUGGUGCCGAUGAUGACGAUGACGGCGACGGUGACAGUGGCCGGCAAACGCUGGCGUCACUGAGAGAGAAGCAGCGUCGGGUGGUCGGCAAUUAAGUCACAUUUACGUGCCCCGCGCAACAUUCCCCGUCAAUAUUGACUCAGGACAGGGGAAUACACGACGAUGCGGCGCAAAUCAGCUUCACCGUCCGUGCUAUUUCUUCGCGAAGUACGUACGAGUGCGCUCGAUAUCUCGCGCGCGUAUUGUGCAUUGAACGCGGCCGGUUGUUGUUGUGCAUAACGAGAGAAAAGAGGUAAAAAUUAUCAGCAGAGAAGCCGGACUACACAAGCGUGAGUGCGUAUGUGCAUGAGAGCGUGCGUGCUGCAUACGAAAAAGCCCAUUGAGAAGGAACGUCAUGCUUUUAAUGGCUGUUGAGCGAGAACGGCGAGACGGUUUCGCUGAAACGCGUCUUCAAUGGGGGGAGAGAUGCACUGCAAAUAUCCUUGGAGUCUGCGAAAUAACGUCGGAGAAAAUUCAUAGAGGACUCACCCACCAUGCCCGGCACGGCACAUUUACAAGUUAAACAGAUUUUAAGAACAUUACAGGGACGGGAAAUACUUCUUCUCCUCGUGGAGAGGUUCACGUGUGCAUCUCCCCGCCCGCGGUAAAUAAACUAUAGAUCUAUACGCGGGACAAUGUUCUCCCGUGAGAAUUUGCACAACGGUCUGGAGCGUCGAGUUCGAAGUUAAACGAUAUACUAUACUUCGAACGGCGUGGCGUAUUAAAUAAUCGCGAUACUACGAUAUUGCUGAGGAGGUUUGAGAUGUGAGACACAUUGUCACAAGAAAUCCUGUGUAAAAUACAUCAGGACCCGUGUAUGACUACCGUACUACAAUUUUACUACUAUCUUUACUACUGAACUACAAUCUACUGAAAUACGAUGAUGAUGGAAGACGAAACAACGAAAGUUUUAGUAUAAAGUAUUAAAGACGUUAUUUGAAGAACAAAGCAAAGAUGAAAGCCCAAUAUUAAAACACUACUGUUAUACAUAUAAGUGUAUUCGAUAAGUGGUACUCAAUGACUCACCAGACUCGGAAGGUGUUUGUAUUCCUAAACACUCCAAGUUGUGUGGUGGUUGGUUCUGAUAGUAGGAGUGGUCGUUCAGGCAAAAGUUUGUGGUUUGUCCUGUUAUUAUUUGUUCACAGGACGAUGUUUGAUUCACUCGAUUUUUAACUUCGUAAUAUAGUUUAGUGUUUUCGAGCGGCUCACUAGUAUCUCUUAGUCCGUUGUUCACUAUAGGCUCGUUUGAUACCGGCGGCGUUAGUAAAACACUCGCGACUGGAUGCUGAUCCUUGUUCUGAUCACGUUGGUCGGUCGACUCCUCAGCAGAAUCCUCAUCGCUUUCCGAUUCGCUGCUAGAAUCUGUGUCUGAACUAUUUGAUGCUUCCAAUCGGGUGUCCUCGCUCGUUACACUUUCCCGUUGGUGCUGUAUCUCAAGCUGUUUCUGCAACUGUUGCUCAAACUCCAACUGUUGCUUCUGCAGCUGAAUUAGUUGUUGCAAUUGUUCAUGCAUGUAUUGCGAAUGAACUUUUUGAGAUGGUUGCUCCAGUUUCUGAUCGUUAUCUUGGGCUUCUUCGUCUGGUAAGUUCAAGUCUUCUAUAUUUAUGUCUGUCCGGUACCCUUUUCUUUGCAUACUUUCGAAGAACAUCCAGAUUUCUAGAGUUUUCAUAGACGGCCGGGAUUCUUCGUCCUCUUCUACGGGCAACGUAUCCGUUUUUGCAGGAGGAUUUUGUAGGAGGACACUUAUACACGGGUUUUCUUUAGAGCAAUGUCCGAGCACCACGCACGAAACGCAUCGGUCACGUAUCAGAAGAUUCCCGCAAUAUCUCUCUAAAUCAUCCACGAACACUUCCCCGAGAGAUUUCUUCACCAAAGGUUUUGGUAUCCAAGGAAAGUGUGACUCCGGCUCGCCAUGUUUCUUCAAAUAUUUCCAACGUCCAAAUAUUUUACUGACGUUUUCUCGCGUUUCCUCGUAUGUGGAUGUCUGUGUGUAAUUCCUGUUACGAUAACGUCUUUGUAUUCUUUUGAGCUCAUCCUCUGAAAAAACAAACAUACAUUUUGCCCAUUAAAUUCACGGCCUCAUGUAUAAUCAAUGAUUAAUAACGUAAUGCGCUACAUGUAACAUAGUGGAGAGAAACAGAACGAGAGACGAAACAUCGAUGAGAUUUUUCUUUCUCGUGUAUCAGAUUUAUCGAAAAAUGUGAUCUUUGUAAAAUAAAUAACAGCCAAACAGCCAACAGUCACUGCUCUUCGUCGAAAAGCGCACACUGAACCUUUUUAUUGACCUAAUUUUGUAAUUUGAUAUGUAAUUUACAUGUAAUAAUGAUAUAGCGUGUCUCUGCUGAUAAGCAUGAUAUCCAUCAUGUGCUUGUGGAUUAGAUCAAGCAAAAAGUUCUCUAACAUUAACAUUUUGCACAUAAACAAUCGCGUACAAAUUUUGAGUUAUUAAUUAAAGAAGACUUGCGAUUAAUAGCUGCACUUCUUUAUAUCAUUUAUCUUCUUCAAUCAAUGUAUAGUUGAGUUUCAUUAAACAGAGUCAAUCUGACACAAAAGUCGAGACGAGCUCUUCUCAACUGACUCAAUACAUAACAAUGUGAUAUAAACUGAUAUGUUAUAACGCGUUUAUGCGAUUACCGUCACACACGUGAUCGAUCAAAUCGGCAAAUCAACGCCACGCGUAGGUGACACAUUGAAAAAUAAUAUUUGGUAGUGUCCAUCCACCCUGUAUAAUAUAGUUACUAAAUGCUUUGGUGAAAUAAUUUCAACAUAAUAUAUAAAUGAAUAUAAUCAAAUAAUUUGGUAAGAAUUAGCAAAUAACUUUAGCAAGGUUUGAUAUCUGUUACCAAACUUCGUAUCUGCUAUCAAGCCAUGGUAACUAUUACAUUUUAUGUGAUACGUAUUACCAAACAAUUUGCUAAAUAAAAUUAUAUUAUUUAGUAAUAUUGUUAGAUUAAUGCAAUAUCUUAAAACAGAGUUUUACCAAAUAGUUUGGUAAUUAUCAAACUAUUUGGUAAUUAUUACUAAAUUAUUUGAUAUUAAUUACUAAAUCAUUUGAUUAGAUCAAUUAAUUAAAGAUUUUGCUUUAUUACUUAUUUUGUAAUUAUCAUCAAAUAGUUACUUAUAACUAGUAACUAUUACCAUAUUUAAUACUCAUUCAAAGACCGCACUAAUACGUUUAACUAAAUGCAUUUAUUAACUAUCACUCUUUCUUUUCAAUGCAUUGAUUUAACCAGGAUAUUUAAUUGCUACGUUUCUGAUGAAUUUCUCCUGUUAUGAGUACGCACGAACCGAAUGACGAUGAAGUAGGAAACCAUCGAACGGCGUUGGGUGUUAAAGAAAAACUGUUUCGACUGGCUAUCGAAAAAAGACCAAGCUGCUCUCGUUGAUCGCUCCGAACGCGCAAACGAUCACAUAUAUAAACAGCCGCGUGUUGCCAAACGAACCUGCCGAAACGUCGUUUCGCGCGCACUGCUUUCAUGUAAUAUUUAUCAAAAUUCGAGUACGUUUGCGACGAGGUGAAGGAAGACGCGCCGAAUAAAAUGUGUAACGAGAAAUUUAUUUUAUUGUAUAAUGUGACAAGAAAUUUAUAUUAUUGUACAAUGCGACAAGAAAUUUACAUUAUUGUACGACAUGAACUUAAUGAUUAAUGUAAUGCAAUAUAUUUGUUUAAUAAAUGUCGUUAAAGGAG